rnacentral:lncRNA from 1 species
UGUAUCUGAUAUGUGUGAUGGGUAGUCAGUCUAUGCUCGUUAUUUCAUAAUGAUUGAAGACAUUAAAGAGCCUAAAAGGCUCGACUAGAUCAUGCACAAAAAAUUGCUUAUCGAUUUGAUCUUGCGAUCCCUGAUUAGUUUAUAUGGAUAGUUUAUUAUGAACUACUAUAUGAAAGACCAUCAUGGCACCUUAUCUGAAUUGAUCAAAAUAUUGAUAACAAAAGAACCUUGAAAUAGUUCAUUUGUAAAUACUUGGAGAGCCUAAAAAAAUAAAAACACACCUAGAGUAGGUAUGUCAAAAUUGCUCAAUACAAUCCUUACGAUUUUCUCUUCUU